CGGACGGGUGAGUAACGCGUGAGAAUCUGCCCUCAGGAGGGGGAUAACGGCUGGAAACGGCCGCUAAUACCCCAUAUGCCGAGAGGUGAAAUGAAUUUCGCCUGAGGAUGAGCUCGCGUCUGAUUAGCUAGUUGGUGGGGUAAGAGCCUACCAAGGCUUCGAUCAGUAGCUGGUCUGAGAGGAUGAUCAGCCACACUGGGACUGAGACACGGCCCAGACUCCUACGGGAGGCAGCAGUGGGGAAUUUUCCGCAAUGGGCGAAAGCCUGACGGAGCAACGCCGCGUGAGGGAUGAAGGCCUCUGGGCUGUAAACCUCUUUUCUCAAGGAAGAAGAUCUGACGGUACUUGAGGAAUAAGCCACGGCUAAUUCCGUGCCAGCAGCCGCGGUAAUACGGGAGUGGCAAGCGUUAUCCGGAAUUAUUGGGCGUAAAGCGUCCGCAGGCGGCCUCGUAAGUCUGUCGUUAAAGCGUGGAGCUUAACUCCAUUUCAGCGAUGGAAACUGUGAGGCUAGAGUGUGGUAGGGGCAGAGGGAAUUCCCGGUGUAGCAGUGAAAUGCGUAGAUAUCGGGAAGAACACCAGUGGCGAAGGCGCUCUGCUGGGCCAUAACUGACGCUCAUGGACGAAAGCCAGGGGAGCGAAAGGGAUUAGAUACCCCUGUAGUC
rnacentral:rRNA from 1 species